rnacentral:rRNA from 1 species
UCAGAACGAACGCUGGCGGCGCGUUUAAGCAUGCAAGUCGAGCGGCAAGGGCCUUCGGGCCCCUAGAGCGGCGGACGGGUGAGUAACACGUGGACAAUCUGCCCCCCGGCCCGGGAUAGCCCAGGGAAACCUGGAUUAAUACCGGAUGGAGACGGGACCCGCGAUGGCGGGACCCGGGAAAGGCGCUGCGGCGCCGCCGGGGGAUGAGUCUGCGUCCCAUUAGCUAGACGGCGGGGUAACGGCCCACCGUGGCGACGAUGGGUAGCCGGCCUGAGAGGGUGGACGGCCACAUUGGAACUGAGACACGGUCCAGACUCCUACGGGAGGCAGCAGCUAAGAAUCUUCCGCAAUGGGCGAAAGCCUGACGGAGCGACGCCCGCGUGAACGAAGAAGGCCGUGAGGUUGUAAAGUUCUUUUCGGGAGGGGGAACAACCGUGGCAGGGAAUGGCCGCGGGAUGACGUGAAUCCCGGAAUAAGCCCCGGCUAACUACGUGCCAGCCGCAGC